GGAGAUAAGAGUCUCAGAGGGCCUUUUCUGCCCUGGCUGGCUAACUUUGAACUGCAAUCCUCAGAUCUCAGCCUCCUGAGUAGCUAGGAUUAAGUAAGCCACCAGUGCCCAGCUUAGAUUAUCCCUUUUAAACCAGGCUGAUAUCAAUGGGUCUAUGAAGAGGCAAAAUAAUUUUGUUCUACUGUUCUUAGAGAUGCUUGAUUUACAUUCACAAGUCAGAAGUUAGUAAAGUUGUCCCAGAGCCAUGAAAAGAUAGUCUUCCCUUUGAGCCUCUAGCCAAUAAGCACUUGACAAGAUACAGUUGAGUCUCUUCCUGGAGUUAGUGUGUCUAGUUUUCCAAUGUCAGCUGAUAUAUUUCAGACCUAACUAGUCACAGUGAGCAAACACCUUGAGAAACACUCCACCCCACCCCACCCCACCCCAGAAGCAGGAGCAGAACAUGCACUUACAAUGCAGUUUUUAGUGUGGCAGUUUAACUUCACAUAAGUGUAAGAGCACACAGUGAAACUUUUGAGACUUCUAGGGAAAGACAGAGUGAAGGUAAAUCCUAGCUUUCUUCUGUAUCUAAUGAAGUAAGAUUAUUGGGGUGAUUUGGUAGUGGGAUGGGAGGAAUGGGUGUUGAAUAUAGUGAAACAAAUUUCAAAGUGAGUCUUUACCUGUUAAGACUAACUAGGUAAUAGAAUCACAAACUAUAGUUGCAUAGUAAUCUCCUUUUGUGUUUAAAUUUUUCUGUAAUAAUUCAGAGAAUGAAUGA